UUGCCUAACUGUUGACCUUCCCAACAGGUAUAAACAAAUGACAAAAGGUAAUUUGUUCAGGCAGGAUACUUGUAUAACUUCAGCUAUGGCCUCUGAUAACAUGAAGGACUUACAAAAACAGUUUGAGAAUGUUGCAGCUCGUUCAAAGUAUAUUGAAAAUGAUUUCAAGAAAUUGGCAGGUGCGAAAAAGGAAAAGGAUAAAAAAAGUGCUACAGAUUCAGUUUUGAAACAAAUUUCACAAACUGUGCCUUUGGUUCAUAAGCUUGAAGAAAGACUAGAAAAAACAAAACAUGAACUACAGACUAGUACCAAUAAAACAGAAGAUGAACAACAAAAAACAAAACAGAAGAACGAUACCAGUUCAGAUGACUCUGUGCUAACAUAUGAACUUAAAGCACAGCUUAUGAAAAAUGUUCAGGUGCAAAAUGAAAGAUUAAAGAUGGAGCUGGCACUACAAGAGAAAGUGGAUGAAUUAAAACUUAUAAAUGAACAAAAGUGUAAAUUACAAGAAGAUUGUAAUUUAUCAAGAAAUAAUUCUAUGAAACUUGUGAAUAUGUUUGAAAGAAAGGCGAAAGAAGAAUGUUUUACAGCAAAUAGUAAACUUCAAGCAAUGCAAGAGGAGCUGAAAAAGUCACAUGAAUUGACCAAUCGCUAUAGGGACUUAUAUGAAAGUGAAAGACAAAAACAACGUUCUCAAGGAGCAACGUCAAAGUCUGGUAACAAAACAGAUAAAGAAGAAACAAAAUUUGAAGGAAUAAAUAAUGAAGAAUCAAAAAAACCUGUUAAAGUAAAUCCUGUGCAGGAAAAUCCACACAUAAGACAGGAAGCACCAAAUUUUCAGUCAAUGUUAAGUCAUGGUGUGCGUGUUAAUGAUAUUAUACGAAAAAAUGAGUGCCUUUCUCAGGAAAAUGUUAGUUUACAAAAGGAAGUUUCACAGUUGAGACACGAAAAUAUUGAUUUAAUGAAGAGGGCAAAAGAAUCAAUGACUGAUAGAGAUACACUACUACAUCAACUUGAUACCAGUGAAAAAGUGAGAGUAGAACUAACAAAAAAAUUACAGAAAGAAAAAGCCCAGGCAUAGGUGUGUUCCUUAUUCCUACCAAAUUUCAACCUGAUACCUCAAAUAUGUGACAGAGAUACGCCAUCUUGAAUGUCAUGAUUAAGAAAGUUUUGGAAAAAGAUUCAUUCUAAAGUAAAGAUUCAAGGUUAUCAGAUAAAGCAUUCCUCGAUGGCUUAAUAGAUCACAGGUUAGGCCAGUUAGACUGGCUUAACCGCGCUUUGAAGCAACAGUUAGAACGAAGUAUUACUAAACAAGCUGCAGAUUGGAUUCAACGUAAAAAACAAGUUCAACAAUAUGAAGAUGAAUUUCGCUGGAGUCAGGUUGGCCAUGUUUCAUCAACUGGUGAACAAAGAUCAAGGUCACCUUACAAAUCUUAAUUUGACAUAUUAUUAACAACUGUUAUUUCUCUGGUUUAUAUUUUUUAAAGCUACAUACAUGAAAAAAUUAAUUUGAUUAUUGCCA